UUAGUAGAGGUUCAUGAACCAUCCCUCUAUAAAAAACUAGGACUGU
rnacentral:ncRNA from 2 species